UGGUAAGAGGUGUAUAACCAUUACCCUUUCCUUUAGUCAUGAAAGGGCUAUUUCCCCUACCUUUCUUUCUAGGCGCAGGAUUUCAUUCCCCUAGUGCUUUCUGUCCUUCUGAGGGGUGAAAGCGAGAUUGAAUGCUCUAAGCUGAGUGUAAGGGUAAGGUCGAGAUAGUCUUGGCAAUUCAUCUACCUUGUUUGUGAGGUAUUAUUUUGAGAAUUCACAUUAUUAUAGGGAACUGAGGCGUUUUAACAUACCGGACAAUUACAGUUAUUACAGUUAUUACACUUACAGGUCCCCUAGGAUGCGAUCGAGCAUUUUCUACUUGCCGUAGCGAAGGCAAGUCGUAUAAAGGCGAGCAGCCCUUAUAGCAAUAGCAUAGCCUACUUAUAGCCUUUCCCUUUGCUAGAUCAGAACCCUUA
rnacentral:lncRNA from 1 species